UAUUUUGUGUUAUACAUGCAGUCGAGCGGANANAAGGGAGCUUGCUCCCGGAUGUNNCGGCGGACGUGUGAGUAACACGUGGGUAACCUGCCUGUAAGACUGGGAUAACUCCGGGAAACCGGAGCUAAUACCGGAUAGUUCCNUGAACCGCAUGGUUCAAGGAUGAAAGACGGUUUCGGCUGUCACUUACAGAUGGACCCGCGGNGCAUUAGCUAGUUGGUGAGGUAACGGCUCACCAAGGCGACGAUGCGUAGCCGACCUGAGAGGGUGAUCGGCCACACUGGGACUGANACACGGCCCANACUCCUACGGGAGGCAGUUGUAAGGAUUCUUCCGCNAUGNACGANAGUCUGACGUNGCAACGCCGCGUGAGAUAUGAAUGUUUNCGGAUCGUUANGCUCUGNUGUUUUAUUAAACGUUUUAGUAUA
rnacentral:rRNA from 1 species